CGUCUUCGUCUUUUUUUCCACAAAAACCCAUAGCCCCCUGUUUCACCGCCAUCACUUCUCCGGUGCCGUUUCCUAUCCUUUUCUCUACAAAAUGUGCACUCUUCACUUCUUUCUCUCUUUUUUUUUUUUAUCUCUCUUUCCUCCUUUUUUUCCUUCAGCUCUAGCUCUAGCUUCUUGCUGUGUCGUCACCGCUUCACUCCGAUGACGAAACACCGUCUAAAACCACCUAAAGUAGAGCCCCAAAACCCCUCCCUUCCUUUCUCUAAAUGUGAUAACAAUUCGAACCUUAUCACAGGCGGGAACUAACUCUGAUGCAAAAUAUUGUUCGAGUUUCGACCACCAUCUUCUAAAAUUAGAUCCAUUGAAAUGAGGACAUUCCAAUCUGGAAAAUCACUCAGUAACGAAUCUUGCUCUAGUCAGCUGAAUUGAUGCUAGAACCAAUGAGGGUUGGUUGGGUGCCAUCGAUUCCUUGGGGGGAAAUCCUAGAGGUUCUCCCAACACGCCCUUUCUUUUUGCUUGAUUUGUUGCUGCUGUAUUCGAUGAGGAGGACCUCAAAUAUUGUUCAAAGAGUGAAUGCAUUUCUCCCCUUAAAUCCUCCCUGAAGUUUUGAAGCCUGCUUUCUAACUUAAAGUCUCAUUUAGCAUCUAGCUAAGACAGUUCCCCUUGGACCUUCAAAAGUUCUUGCUGUAGAAUCGAGGUAUCCUUCUGCCCACGCGUGGUCACACCGUCCCCAUCCAUGAAGAAUCGCUGAAGCUCUGAUACCUUGAUAAGAAUCGACCUAGAAAAUAGGAAAAGAACAAUAGAAUGGAAAAAGAUAAAGAAUAAGAAAGAAAAGACCCAAGAGUUGUUUUCUACUGCAUAUUUCAUUCCCUGUAUUAUAGUCAUAUAACCUGGUUUAUAGAGAAAAUAAAGAAAAAUGACAAAAAGGGAAGUUGUGACAGCGGUAACAAAAAUAACAAACUUAUUUGGUGAAAACGCCCCGUUUCAUUUAAGUUCAUAGAAAUUACUCUUUUGCCACUAAAAAUUCAGCUCGCAUCAAAAUGCUUUUCUUAGAAAAUCACUAGAAAUUUCCAAACAUCCUAAGAGACUUUCGAGCUUGUUAAACCCGGAUCUCUCUCAGUUAGAUCGACUCGAUUUUGAGAUAUGUUACUCUUUUCGACAGUGGCUAUUUCUUUACUGUUGGGAUUUGCAAACUGAAGGUCAGAGCUUCGUAAAAUGCCACUGACCCAAGAUAAGUUCCCUUCUUUUUUCGAUGCUUUCCUUCUAGUUUUGAUUAAAUUUGUACAUGAUUUGAUUUAUUUCACACUAUUUUUAGACACUAUAAGAAGGCAUAAUGAUAUUAAUUAUACAUGAUUCCGUAGCAAUUUUGAUUAAAUUUUGUUUCUCCAUUUGAUACAGAGGCUUGAGGGUUAAUGUUUCCAGUGUUUUUUCACUGCAAUUCAUGGUGAAUAGGGAAAAAAUCCAUGGUUUUUUUUCUAGUUAUUUUGUUGCAGAGGAAUUCAAUGAAGACUCCGAGCUUAAAUGAUUAGAAGAUUAGAAAACCCUCAUUGUUAGAAUGUUCAAUUUGGUUUGGAGAAAGGUGGUGUUUGAUAACCAGGAGAAUCCCUAGAAGAAUAGUUGAGAAGGACUUCAAAUUUCUCUCUGAUUUUCUUAGUCCGGCUCUCACGCCCAUUCGUUUUCCAUCGUCUGUCUUGCGUGGCUCGGAACAUCGUCUUCCAGGUAAGAAGCUUCUCCAGAACUCAAACAUUCCUUUGCUAAAAGAUGGGCUAAUUGAUUUUCCGAGCGAUUGAUAUGUUGGAUUCGAGUGAAAGAAAACCUGUUCAUCUCCUGUUUAAUGUUGCGUAUAUAAGCGCUUAUUUCAGAUCUGUCAUGUAUGUUGGUGUUGCAUUUCUUUACUAUUGAAAGGGAGUCUCCCACUAUGAUUAUUUCUGAAAAACCCAUUUCUGAAUUUGUUUUUAUUGCCCAUAAACACGCGAGUGCUUCUGCUGCAAACGCGGUACCCACCUCAGCAUGCAGGAUCGUCCGUGAAAAUAAGACUUUUCCUUGAUUGCUUUUAGCAACAAUUCCCGUUUCCGAUCUGGAAUUCCCCUCAUCAAAGGCCGCGUCAAAAUUGAUUUUGAUUCUUCCUUCGCUUGGCGGUACCCAUCUCCUUACUCCUCUUCUUCUCCACAGUGCCACACAGAGAACUCGUCUUCUAGGAGCGGAACAGCCGUUGAAAGCCCGGGGCAGCCACGAAAGACUGGUCAACAUUCUCGACAUCAAUACUGCAUCUUGGACAUAAUAGAUUUGACACAAGUCGUUUAUAAUACAAAUUUGAAAAAAUAGGAAUAUAGUUCUUUGAAAUUCGCCAAAUUGUUUUAGCCAGGAGUUCUGAACUCCAAAGUUUCUUGUAGAAAUCUUUAGCUUUGGUUUGUAAUUCGUUUAAAGUAGGAGUAGGAUUACCAUUUUGUAAUAGUUUGUAGGCGCUCCGCACAGGGAAAUCCCCCGAAGGUUCCCCCCUCUAUAUCAACAUAUCCUCAUGAGGAGUACUGGCCAAAGGUAUUCGCAAAAUUCUGUCUGCAUCAGCACGCGAAAAGAUGUUUUAGCGUUUGCGAUGUGAGUGGUGUGGGUAUACCAAGGAAGUGAUCCAAGUUAGGCUUUAGUUUUUGUGUAGGUGAUAUUAUUAUUCUUUGAACCGUGGGAAUAAGGCAAUGUGGUAGAUUUUUAGUUGAUCAAUGCCAUGAUGUUUUGGAUGUUUACAUGACUUUAUUGCUCUUAAGAUUUAUGGAUAUUAAGCUUGAUAUAUUGAUUCUUGCUCGAACAUAUUUUUGAUAUUUUGAACUGUUAUUAUAGUCAUUUUGGCAAUUGCUUGAUGUGGUA